CUUGAUGGCGACCGGCGCACGGGUGCGUAACGCGUAUGCAACCUACCUGUAACAGGGGGAUAACACUGAGAAAUCGGUACUAAUACCGCAUAACACUAUGAGAGGCAUCUCUUGUGGUUGAAAGUUUCGGCGGUUACAGAUGGGCAUGCGUUGUAUUAGCUGGUUGGUAAGGUAACGGCUUACCAAGGCGACGAUACAUAGGGGGACUGAGAGGUUAACCCCCCACAUUGGUACUGAGACACGGACCAAACUCCUACGGAAGGCAGCAG
rnacentral:rRNA from 1 species